CACUCACUGCGAAGUUUACCUGAGUGGAGCGGUGGCACGCUGGAGACUCUGCGAGCUGACUUCUACCCACUUUUGGCUUUCUUCCCUGACUAGGGGCAGGGUAGAGGUGAUGGGAGAGACGGAGCGGGGAGCGCCACUACAGACACUAGGUACCGUGGGUCAAACCGAAGGACGACAGAAUGCUGAACCCAGAAAUCAACAAGCCACCCGGAACCAAAUGGCCAGUUCACCACCUGCCACUUGACACUCGCGGGACGAAAACUGUGUGGCGGGCAGAAGAGUCAGGGAACUAGAGUUACGCUAUGCUGAGUGGGAAAGGAACGGAUUGCCGGGUCUCUUGCGUAAUUGCAUUGUUAGCAUUCUUAUCCACAACAAACUCUUCUCCUGCUCUGAUGCAUAGAAGAUAGCAGGUCGUUUUCAGUUUUCAACUAGUCGAGCGACCUUUCCUGAACUGGAUCUAUGAAGUGCGGCGUGGCUUUAAUGGAGAAAGGAGAUUCGGUUGAAUAGACUCUUAAGGUGGCCCGGGCGCACCUCUUGCAUCUCUCCGCAGCCUGGGAUUCCUGCGCUGCGGAACAACUACUGCAUCUGUUCCAUAAGCCUGUCGCCCGUUGACAUUUCUAGGCAAGCAUCAACAUUUACAUUGUAAUUCAAUAGAAGCAGCUACUACAAAGGCUCUUUAUCCUUGCAGUUUAAUAUGGUUGCCAGGGGAACAACGCAGGAUGAAAGUGACUUGUUUGUGUGGGUUCUCUUCUGGUCCGGAACAGUGCGAAGUAGCCAGGUGUCAUUUAUAAUCGCUGCUACGAGAAUUAAGUAUUUGUGGGAGUUCUGACAGGGAUCUAGCCCAUACAUGAGCGUGGUGGAAAUACAGGAGGGUAUGGAAAGCUUUGCCACAUUUAUGUCAAGUCAACACUGGAGCACUGGAGCUGUCAGAUUUGACACAACUUCUGUAUUAAACCUUUGCAGGUCACAUGAUUUGGGGGAAUUAAAUUACGGCACUAGGUUUGGUUGUUCUUUAUUUCCACUCUUAGCAACUGACUUUAACGAUUCUAUUUUAUUUUAGAUAAUAACAUAAGCACCCAUACAGGUACUUUUUAGAAACAAUAUAUUUUUAACACAGUUUG
rnacentral:lncRNA from 1 species